CUUAAUGAACUGAUUAUGUCUUGUGUUGUAUGUGCCGUGAUGCAUUCCUCCUCAUGCAGCAUAUCAUUAUUUCAUGGAAAUAUGAGAAAGUGGAGAAGUACUGUCUUUUAAAGAAAAAUAGUUUGACACCUUACUUAUAUUAUUGACCAUGCUGAGGUAGCAAGUUGCUUUUCUAACAAUGCAACUCGAGGAAUCCUAAUCUUAUGUUAUGCAUGAAGUGAGUAGAGCUUCAUGGAGAUCGUGUUGGCUAUGAUGAUCCAACCAUGGUGACUUACAUUGGGCGCAUUGAAGGUAGAAUUUAUCUCUUCAUUGGUCAUCAGAAAGGUAGAAACACAAACGAAAAACAUCAUGUAAAACUUUGCAAUGCCAACCCCUCAUAGGUAUGCUUCAAGCAUUCUCAUUCAUAGCAAUAUUACUAAUUACUAUCAUUAAGCAUUUCAGGUAAUCUGUUCUGUGGUUAAUAACAUGUUAAAUUGAAUUGAUGUUUUCAUUAAUUCAAAGUGAAAUUAGAUUAGCAACAAGUUAGGCUGAAGUUGUUGCUCAUAAGCCUCUGAACAUGUUCAUAGUUAUCAGAUUUUUGGAGAGUCUAUGCAGCGUUCAGCUUUUUGAAAGGAAUAUUGUUUAAUUUGAUACCACAAGGUUAGUUUUGUAAAAGAUGAAUUGAUAACUACUAAAUCUUCGCCGUGCAACUACAAAAGGCUUUGAGAAUGAUGAAAUGUGCUGAUCAUUGUGUCUUGUUACAUUUGUUGACACUCCGGGGGCUUUUGCUUAUUUAAGAUCUGAAGAGCUAGGUCAGGGCAUGUUUGGGCUGAAAGUUCCAAUCAUAACAGUUGUAAUUAAUGAAGGAGGUUCAGGCAGAGCUCUUGCCAUCGGAUGUGAUUAAUGUACAACAUUUUAUGUUACUAGGUACCCCGAAUCAGGCUUCUGCCAGCACACCAGGUUGAUUCUAAGAGUGGGUUGCAAAUUGAUAAUAUUCUGACAAAGAUCACUCCAAGAAUAGAGCACUAAUCAUCAGAAUCAGAAUGACAAGGUGAUUUGUCCUGAGCCUGUUGUCCCUCGUGUCUCAGCUCUUGUUGUCCCCUGUCAGAUUGGAGAUUUUCUUCUGUCUCUUGGGGUUUUUCAAUGUUCUGCACAGUAUCUGAGCAAGAGGGAAUGGUCAGUAGGUUUGAAGUCCCGGGAGAAGAACCCACACCGGUGAAAUAGGAAUAUCUUCCUCCAGCUUGAAAUUCGGAGUUCAUUUUUGGAGCCACAUUUGCAUUCCAUCAAGUUCAAUGACUCUUUUAAACCAAACCACUUUGAAAUCGUCAUCAUUUGUGAAAUCUAGAAAGUAUAUUAGGAUCAAAUUUGUAGUUGUUGUUCCAGAGUUUGGUUGCUCAUGGUCAAAUGAAUUGAUGGGCGUAUUUGGUAGUUUUUUCAGCAUAUUCGUCGCAGUUGUUAUUCAUUUACCCAUUAGUGCCACCUCUAUUUAUUUAUCUAU